CCUACCAAUUAUACUCGGUUGUAUCGCAACCAUGUAGUAUGCACGACGGGCGAAGCGAAGCCGCGGUAGUCGACGAGUUCACUCGAUUCGCCGCACAAAGUUUGGAGGGAACAUCGACUCGUAGGUUAAAAUUGCUUCGUUUUCCGUCUAAUUGCGAACGAUUUUGCUUUUGUUCCAUAGGACUCUGAUUUGCGUACCCGAUCGUGCUUGCCUCGGGCCUUCCUGGAGAAUUUGGCCCUUCUUAGGGCAAGAAGACGCUAGAGCUCUUUCUUUGUUUCUGGAUAAAGAUUAGCUUUGUUAGAAUUCACAAGAUGGAGAAAUGAACAAACGGCUACUACAGGCCUGAAAAGACUGCCUCAGGUUCAUCACAUUCAGAAUGUGCUUACCACAAAAGAAGACAGAUCUGUUAGCACUGGGGGCUUUACAUGCUUAAAAUUCAGCGAUGUUCGUGGGAGUCUCAGUACAGACAUUUUAAAGGUGUGUCAAUACUGGAUGUCACUUAAGCUCUGAACACAAUGAGGUGGUUGUCCAAAGGUGCCGGGGGGGCAUACAUGUGAGCCCUCAUGUUCCUAGGGGCCAAAUGUGAGACAAAUAGUAUCUCACAUACUUUAUUGAUUCAUGUGGUGCCAAAGAGCCAAGGGAAGUUUAUAUUUUGUUCAACAGAUGUGAGUCAUUUGUUUAUAGGACCGUAUGGUAAGUGUCAAUUUCCAUCUUUCCAUGUACCCUACACUGUUUACAUACUAGCUCAUGCCACCUGCUUUUUACUGCACCCCAAUGUACCCUCUGUUGCAACCUCUGUGCUCCUUCUCAAUGGCCAUUUCCCAUCUCUUUCCCACUUCCCAACACCUUUAAAAGCCAGGCUAAAGGUAAAAAAAAGGUAACCUACUGACCAUUUGGGUCUGUGACAUGAAUCACCUUUUGAUGGAGCAGGAGGCCUAUCUUCCUUCAUAUUGUCUUCUCUGGCUUUUCAUCAUGGAUAGAAGAAUUAAUAAUGUAUGGAAUAUGGACAUUGGACAUGACAGCUAGUAUUUGUUGAGCAAUGUGCUCUGAACAUGGUUUUGUACCCAAAAGUAAGUCAUGUCUGAGUGACAAAUUUCACAUUCUACUAUCUGAUUUCUCUAUGAAUUUAAGAAUUCAUAAUGUACAGACAGUAUGGGCAAUGGAAAUGACAUAAUAGCAUUUGUUCCAUCAACCAUCUGUCUCCGGGAUCCCUCUGGUGGAGCAAUGAGCUGUUGACAUGGUUUUGUGCCCUAAAGUAAGCCACUGCUGAGUGACAAGUUUUCAUCCAUCCCCUUUGAUGAUUGUCCACUUGAGGAAUGUUGGGGACUCUGCACCAAGAAUAUCAGAGCUGGCCUGUAUGGUUUGUACCUGUAAGUGCCUGAAGGGAACUGAUGAGUAAGUACACUGACCAUUUAUUAUGAUAAGGAUGGACUGCUCACCGCA